GCUCCAGUAGCUCAGUCUUGGAAGAGUGUUACCUUGGUAAGGUAAAGGUCCUGGGUUCGAUUCCCAGCUGGGGCU
rnacentral:tRNA from 1 species